UAGGGAAUCUUCCACAAUGGACGCAAGUCUGAUGGAGCAACGCCGCGUGAGUGAAGAAGGUUUUCGGAUCGUAAAGCUCUGUUGUUGGUGAAGAAGGAUAGAGGCAGUAACUGGUCUUUAUUUGACGGUAAUCAACCAGAAAGUCACGGCUAACUACGUGCCAGCAGCCGCGGUAAUACGUAGGUGGCAAGCGUUGUCCGGAUUUAUUGGGCGUAAAGCGAGCGCAGGCGGAAUGAUAAGUCUGAUGUGAAAGCCCACGGCUCAGCCGUGGAACUGCAUCGGAAACUGUCAUUCUUGAGUGCAGAAGAGGAGAGUGGAACUCCAUGUGUAGCGGUGGAAUGCGUAGAUAUAUGGAAGAACACCAGUGGCGAAGGCGGCUCUCUGGUCUGCAACUGACGCUGAGGCUCGAAAGCAUGGGUAGCGAACAGGAUUAGAUACCCUGGUAGUCCAUGC
rnacentral:rRNA from 1 species